GACGAACGCCGGCGGCGUGCUUAACACAUGCAAGUCUAACGGAAAGGCCCUGCUUUUGUGGGGUGCUCGAGUGGCGAACGGGUGAGUAACACGUGAGUAACCUGCCCUUGACUUUGGGAUAACUUCAGGAAACUGGGGCUAAUACCGGAUAGGAACUCCUGCUGCAUGGUGGGGGUUGGAAAGUUUCGGCGGUUGGGGAUGGACUCGCGGCUUAUCAGCUUGUUGGUGGGGUAGUGGCUUACCAAGGCUUUGACGGGUAGCCGGCCUGAGAGGGUGACCGGGCACAUUGGGACUGAGAUACGGCCCAGAGUGAUGAGGGAGGCAGCAGUGGGGAAUAUUGCAACAUGGGCGGAAGCCUGAUGCAGCAACCCGGGGUGCGGGAUGACGGCCUUCGAGUUGUAAACCGAUUUCGCCUGUGAAGGAGAGUGAGUGACGGUAAUGGGUAAAGAAGCACCGGCUAACUACGUG
rnacentral:rRNA from 1 species